UAUUAGGUUGGUGCAAAAGUAAUUGCAGUUCUUGCUGUUACUUUCGGUGGCAAAACUGCAGUUACUUUUGCACAAACCUAAUA
rnacentral:miRNA from 1 species